CCGUUUUUUUUCUCCGCGAAGUAAGUUCUAUUGUUUUUGUUAAUUACCUUUAAAAUUAAAUGUGAAAAUGUUUAGUAAUAAAUAAAUAAGGAAGCAAUUGGAAAGAAAAGCAUUGGAGACGAACACCGAAGAUAAUAAUGAAGAUACAACGGAAGAUAACGAAGAACCUUAUACGUCGAUGCCUCUGGAGAAGCUUUCUUCACCUUCAAGCGAUAUUCAGGCCAUAUUACAUCUCAUUCCACAAUAUGCACAGAGUUUUUAUAACAAUCUUAUUAGUGAUGAUGCAAUAGAAGACCACAUAGAUGGACUAGACAAGGUGGAUUUCGAAAUCCAAUUUGAUGAUAACGUCGAAUAAACGUCCUCUAUAUGUAUUAUUUUAUAUAUCUUUUUAAUAAAAGCUUUAUUACGAUAUUAUAAA